GAUGAACGCUGGCGGCGUGCCUAAUACAUGCAAGUCGAGCGAAAGGACGCGAAGCUUGCUUCUCUGAUGUUAGCGGCGGACGGGUGAGAAACACGUGGAUAACCUACCUAUCAGACUGGGAUAACUUCGGGAAACCGGCGCUAAUACCGGAUAAUAUUUUGAACCGCAUGGUUCAAAAGUGAAAGACGGUCUUGCUGUCACUAAUAGAUGGAUCCGAGCUGUAUUAGCUGGUUGGUAAGGUAACGGCUUAUCAAGGGAAGGAUGCAUAGCCGACCUCAUGGAGGGUUAGCCCCCCCGGGAGGUGAGCCCCCGUCCAGACUCCUACGGGAGGCCCCAGUAGGGAAUCUUCCGCAAUAGUCGAAAGCCUGACGGAGCAGCGCCGCGUGAGAUAUGGAGGUCUUCGGAUCGGAAAGCUCUGUUAUGAGUGAUGAACAUAUGUGUAAUUAACUGUGCACAUCUUGACGGUACCUAAUCAGAAAGCCCCGGCUAACUACGUG
rnacentral:rRNA from 1 species